AUAAAAAGAGUACAUGAUCCAAAACUGGGGAUAUCUUGGGAUGAAAAGACGAUAUUUAUAUAAUAAUCUUGUUAUACUUUUCUUUCUUUAAAGGUAAUUAUUUCUGUCGAAAGAAGCGCAAGUAUCGGUUUAUCGUGUCAUAAACACUUCACAUUCCAUUUGUUAACCUUACGUCCUAUUCACGGGGCAUGAGGCUGUCAUCAAUAACUACGAUCCUGGAGUCAAAUAUUCACCAGAUCCGCCCUUGGUCUCUGUGUCUGUGAGCCGCUGUCAUCCCUGUUGCCCCAAACUGUGGCAUUGAGAUAGUUUCCGGAAGUGUAGUGGCUUUGUAAAAAUAAGAUUACAAUGGCGUCGCUUCUGUCUUCCACAGAGACAACUCGACCUCGGGGUCAGGCGCGCGCGCAAUGUCGACUGCUUACUGCUGUCCCACCAGAGUAUUUGAUUGUCGAGGGAGGGCCACAUGGGGUGACCUGCUCGCUGCGUGCCAGUGACUGUCAAUGGUUAUCAGAAUUUAGUCCUAUGAUGGCUCACGGGACAACGAUAACUACCCAAUGAUGCCAGGGCACACAUUUCAGGCUUCACCGUACCUCUCUCUAUAACACCAAACAGACCAAUGGCACCACCGGCACCAUGGUACAAAGGAAGGCAUGUGUACAAAAUAUCUUCUGUUGAAAAGUUGACUGCUUGCAUCAUAACUGAUACACCAAAGCUCUUGCUAUGACGGAUAUAUACCGGCUUUGGAAGACCUACAAAUAUAAAUUUUCUGUGUCUUCAAGACAUCAAUGCAAAUAUGGUUGUAUUCAGGCUGAAACAUGCGUUCACAGCUGCCUUUCUCUUAUUCUUGGUCAAGCAUCAAAGAAGGACCAGGGAAACAAAAAAUUCAGGAUGAGGCAGCUUGGCCUCUGAAAAAAAAACUGACCAUGUUUUCCAACUGGCGAUGGUCUGUCUUGAGAAGACAUUGUGUGAGACAUACAGAUAUGUUUGUGCAGAUUAAGUUGGUGCAGGUAUAGCUUCCUCUUCCGGGACUGUGGAUUAUAUAUCUAGACGGUGGAUUAUAUAUUGUGGUAAAUAUUGACUAAGAUCAAUAAAAGAGGAAAGAAAAA